CCUGUUGAGAUGUCGCUUGCAAAGGCUCGUUGGGUAUACAUGUCUGGCUUCCUGAUGCUCUGCCAAUGUCUCUCCUGCAAGAGCGUGGGGUGGAAGUUCAGCUCCCCAUUUAGUCCUACUGAUCCCUUCCUGGAGAAGGUAGGGUGUCAGCUUGUACUGCCUCCGCUGCCUCCAUGUAGUGUGAAAAUUCCCAGGGGUGCCCAUGCUGCCUGUCCAGGGCCAAGAGUUGCGGAUGACACGCCUAGCUGGUUAGAAUGGCAGUUCGGAGCAUAGGCCCUGGGUUCAGCAGUGUCUACCAUCCUUUGCUUGCUGUGGAGAAACCUGUUCCGGCUGCCACAGGAACCUCAGGAUUUGCCCUCCCUGGACCUGCUGAACACGAACUUUCGUCUUUAUGUAAUCAAGUAUCCCCAUCUCUCAGGGGCCGCCAUGUCACCGCCUUGUCAGUCAGUUACACAAUUAAACAAUCUGG